GCGGGUGUAGCUCAGUUGGUAGAGCGACAGCCUUCCAAGCUGUAGGUCGCGGGUUCGAGCCUCGUCACCCGCUCAA
rnacentral:tRNA from 3 species